rnacentral:rRNA from 1 species
GUCUACGGCCAUACCACCCUGAACAUGCCUGAUCUCGUCUGAUCUCGUAAGCAAAGCGGGGUCGGGCCUGGUUAGUACUUGGAUAGAAGAGUUUCUAUAUUGAAGGAAGGGAUAUUGUACAAG